UGGGGAAUAUUGGACAAUGGAGGAAACUCUGAUCCAGCGAUGCCGCGUGAGUGAAGAAAGCCUUCGGGUCGUAAAGCUCUUUUACUUGGGAAGAAAAGUCUGUGUUAAUAGCACCGGACGCUGACGGUACCAAGAGAAUAAGGAUCGGCUAACUACGUGCCAGCAGCCGCGGUAAUACGUAGGAUCCAAGCGUUAAUCGGAAUUAUUGGGCGUAAAGAAUUUGUAGGCUGUCGUGUAAGUUGAAUGUGAAAUCCCUGGGCUUAACCUAGGAACUGCGUUCAAGACUACACGACUAGAGUAUGUAAGAGGAGUGUGGAAUUCCUAGUGUAGCAGUGAAAUGCAUAGAUAUUAGGAGGAACACCAGUGGCGAAGGCGGCACUCUGGGACAAUACUGACGCUGAGAAAUGAAAGCGUGGGGAGCAAACGGG
rnacentral:rRNA from 1 species